GGGGCCAUCAGCCUCUUUUUCGUGUUCUAAGUCUCGUUUUCGUGUCUUUCAUGGAAACAAGCGAUAAAACAGUUUAUCGAUUUUCGAAAUCAGCACCCUCGAAUUGACCAAAAGCACUAGGUUCCAUGAAUUUCGCUUUCGGGGGACCAUUCCCCUAUUCUCCGCCUGGUCUAGUUCUGUUAACUCUGUUAAAGGUUUAGCAAUGCUUGCAAAUUUUUUGUUAAAUCUUCCAUAGUAUGAGGCUAGCCCCAGAAAAGCGCGAACUUCAGUUUUGCUUUAGUUAGGAAAUUUUGCAACAGCAUCAAUUUUCCUUGGAUCAGGCUUUAAUCCAUCACCACUGAUAAGAUAACCCAGGUAUUAACCUCCAAUUUGGCCCAAUGACAUUUUGAUGGCUUUAAGAUUAAACCCGCCCGAUUCAAUCCGUCAAGUACCACUUGCAAGCGCUCUAGGUGCUCAUGAAAUGUUUUUCAAAAAUGAUGACGUUAUCUAAAUAAACCAGACAAUGGCUCCAAUGUAAUCCUAUCAAUACAAAGUCCGUCAAUGGUUGAAAAGUUGUUGGGGCAUUUGUUAUGCCAACGGACAUUAAAUUUCUAAUGCCCUUUAAUGGUUGUAAAUACAGUAAUUUCCUUAGAUGCAUUAGCUAGUGCCACCUGCCAAUAACCACUUUGUUGUAAAAUAUUUAGCCCCACCUAAUGCAGUCAACGUGUCAUCUAUGCAUGGUAAGGGAUAAGGGUCCUAUUUUGUGACAGAGUUCACCUUUAUGUAAUCAAUGCAAAAGCAGGUGGAACCGUCAGGUUUUGAAAACAACUGGAGACAACCAGGGGCGUUUUGAAAAUUGAUGCUGUUGUAAGAUGGCCUAAUUAUUUCCUUUACGAGUAGUUUCUCCACUUCCUUGUCAAUCAGACCCUGUUUUGCCAAUGGAACUAUGUAGGGUGGCUGCCUAAUUGGUGUUGCGUCACCAAUGUUGAUUUUAUGCUUAACAAUUUCAGCCUGUCUCAAAUCAGGACAUUUGACGAUUUUAAGUUCUCUAAGAAGAGCUAGGAAGCGAUCCUUUUUUUAAAUGACUAAUUUUAAGGUCUUCUUCUGAGAAAAUAUCAUUAGAAACGUUCGUGUCAGUGUUCAACUCCUCUGUUGGAGCAUCGUCUACACGAGGCACUUUUUCUUCGAUAAAUGGGACAAUUUCCACGAUUUCCUUAUUUUUUGGUAAAAAUACAGGAUAGUCUGUUAAGUUUGUUACUUGCAGCAUUACUUUGUCAUUACGUGACCUAACUUUAGUUAAAACUCGUGCAAUAAACAGUUUAUUGUCCUUAGCAAACCCACCUUCAACAAAUAAGUCAUUAUUUUCAAUAUUAUCAAGUAGUUUAGUUUGAAUGGCUACAGUUGCCUUCACUGAAAUUGGAACGUCAGAUACAGUAGAAUCGAUAAACUCUUAUUUGGGCAAAAAAACCUUAACAACAAGAUCUGGCAUAGUUAUUGACAAUAUUCCAAAAUCAAUGGCAGCUUUGUUAGCAACAAAGAGUCUUUGCAGAGUCAAACACUGUGUUUGAAAACAUGAUCGUUAAAUUGAAUAGAAAAUUCUGCUUACCCAACUCGAUAAAGGCGUCCCAGUAGCAGCAAACAAAUCAACAUUAUCAUAAAUCAAAAUAGACUUUUUUGCAAUUUCAUUGUAGAUUGUUUUGACAUUAAUAAAAUAUCUUCACCAUUGUCAAUCAACAAAAGAGCACUAAUAUCAUUUACAAAGCCAGCAACAUAACCUUGUUGCUUGACUGAGCAUCUAUUGGAAAUAAUGUUUAUUACUUUCGCUUCUGUUUGUUCCAAAUUGGCUCCCAUAUCUAGUUGAUCGUGACUAACCUCUGAAUUCUUAGGUACUCAGGGCUGACUGCAUUUGUUUUGAAAAUGUCCCCAUUUUCCACAGUUCCAGCACUGAAUGUUAUUUCUACGAAAUUUUGAGGGCUGAGAAUUUUCUUCCCAUGUACCAGUAAUUUUGGGCCAAGAUUCUGAGCCUGGAUUCUGGGGAGUCUUGCAGUAUUCUGAGCUGAAGAGCAAUUAUGCGUUGUUGGUCUUGCAUUAUUCUUCUCAUGCCUUCUAGCAACUCUGAAAAGUCACUGUUAGUGGAGCAGGGUUCUUCGGCAUUUUUUGAAUCGAUGGCAAGAACUUUGCUUUUGCCCUUUUACGCAAUUAUGUGUGAGCUUUCUGAUAUCCCAUAUCAAGAAGCUCCGUAUGCCAGGGCGAAAUAUUAGCCUUUACUGAUUUAUGUGUAUUUAUUGUUGUGUAUUCUCGGCGUAUUGCAGUGUUUCUUAUUUGCUACAUUUUUAUAGACUUUUCGCCACAAGAACUCCUUGGAGCCCAUCGAGCAGCCUGCUACAGUGACCCUUUCUUCAUUCACACAUUGUUUCGAAAGUUGGCUUUAAACCUUUGACAAAAUAUUCGAGAGACUUUUCCCUUGAGAAUUCGGGAGAUUUUGUGCUCCAUCCCCAUUGCACUAAAUUACAGAUAUCUUCAUAAAAAUCUGCCACGGAUUCAUGAGAUUUUUUGUAUCUUUCACCCACCAGAUUUCUUUAUUGUAGCCUUUGCAAAGGUGAAUGACCCUCAAUUUCCUUCUUUAAAAGAUUAGCAUCAUUCUUUAUUCAAGCGACAAAAUACGAUAAAAUUGACUUUCUCAACCCAAAAGAUAAAGUAGAAGCAUUACCUGUUCCUCAUCAUGGGUCCAGCCAUUUGCAGCAGUAGCUCGAUUCCAGCUGUCAAGCCACUAGGAUAGGAAUCUGAUUAUUGUUCUGUGACAACAAUAGGAUUCAGUGACAGAUUUUGUUGAGUUUUAUAAGGAUUCUCAGCUGGAAAUGCGAGUUUUAUGAGAAUUUUCAGCCACUGCAAUAUCAAGCCUCAAGUCAAGCAGGUGAGACAGUGUUUUUUAUUUGUUUUAAACAAUUUAUAAUUUUUUUUCAUGAUGGAAUUGGGCCUUCGUUGCUUAUAAUCACAUCCCCAUGAUUCUGUUCGCAUGUGUUUCGCCUGCUGCUUCUACUGGUGAGUCACCCUUCUACUUCCAGUAUGGUUGUGAGCUUCAUUUGCCUGUAGAUGCUGCAUUGAUAUUGCCUUCCGCUCAUCUUUCAUCAUCUGUCGCUGAGCAUAGUGCAGGCAUACUUACAAAUUUGAAGAAUGCACAGUGUAUGGUUUCUCCUAAAACGCAGUUGGCUCAACAGAAAAUGAAAGAAUAUUACGAUAUAAAUUGUCAACCAGCUGUUUACGAUAUCUGAGACAAAGUAGAGGUGUUUACACCGAAAAGCAAGUAUCAAAAAAAUCAUUGCAUAAUUAUCACGGUGCGUACCCUAUUGUCGCAAAGGUUUCUCCAGUUCACCUUCGUUUUCAAACUCUAGAUAACCGUCCAGUAUCUGUUCCAGUUCAUGCAAAUAGACUAAAGCUAUAUUGCGAUCCGAAUUAUCGUCCAAUCAAGCCACCGAACGAUUUUGACAAUUUUAGCGAUCUCACUGACAAUGAUUUGACUUCCGAUAGUUUUGAUAAUGGUCUGAUACCAGAAGAAACGUCUACGUUGCUGUUAAGAACUACCUUGCUCUCCCAAACCAGGAGGUUUGAACUUAAAGGGCUUAUUAAACCAAAUUUUCGAUAGCUUUUUUAUUAGCUACUCUCAUAGAUUGAAGGUUCUUGCUCUAAAUAAAAAAAAACAGAAUUUCCUUGUCAAUUCUUUUUAUUGCGUGUGAAAAACGACACAUUACGCAUAUUCAUUGCAAAAUCGGAAGUCCUCUUGUGAUGUCACAGUGAUGAGUCAUGAUAUAUGAAAGAAUAAGUCACGCAUUCAUUCAUGGCUAUAGUAGUAGAAGUAGCAUGACAAAUUCGAUGCGCUCUUCAGGUUAUGGUCGAACCUGCAUUGCUGGAACAUUUGAUGGGACCAGUUGCAAGAAUACACAGUUUACAGAGGGUAUCGCGCUCCAUUAUUUUCCCGAUAGAACUGUAGACAGAACAAGACAUCAGCAAUGGAUGAGAUUUGUUUGCCGGCACAGACACAGUUUCAAACCAUCAAAAUACUCUGCCUUGUGUUCAAUUCAUUUCGAAGACACGUGUUACACGAUGAGAAGGGGUUUAGCCAAAGAGCUCAGAAUAAGUGUGUCAGAUUUAGAAAGAAGAAUAGCCUUUAUUUUCUCAAAAAGCAACACACUUUAUUGUCUUCAAUCCACCAGAUUUUACGAACGACACUUGACAAAAUGGAGCAACAAGAUGAAAGUACUGACGAUGAAGUUGCAGCUGACAUGGGUGCCAAUAUUUUAUUAACAUUAAAUAUUAUAUACAUUUCUGUAUCUGUAUUUCCAGAAAUUUAUUUUAAUUUACAGAAUUUUCCUUUUAUUUGCAGUCAAAUCAAGCUGGAAGCAGUAAUGCCAUCGAACUGAGUGCUGCUAAAUUGUGCUUUCAGUAUCUCAAUGAUUGUGGUUUGCAUGUCUCAAAUUUUGUAAGUGACCGGCACAGAGGCAUUGCAAAGUGGAUUAGGGAGAAACAGGCACAAAGCAUUUCCACGAUCUCUGGAAUAUGGUCAAAGGAGUUUCAAAAAAGGUUCUACAAGCCAUUAAGGAGAAAGGAAAUGAAAAUCUUCAGGGUUGCCUGAAAGGUAUACGGAGUCAUCUAUACUGGUGCGCUGUGUCAACAAAGAAAUGCACAACAGCGUGUGUCAAGCAGUGUCAACACAGAAAUGUGUUAUUGCCAAAUGGAAGUCGUUGAUGCGACACAUUUCAAAUAAACAUACUGACCACCCCGAUCAGCUUUUUGACAAAUGCACUCAUGGUCAACUCCAGCGACGAGAGUGGCUCAAGACAGAUACCCUUGCAGUAUCGAUACCCUCUGAAGCUUAUAUAUUAUGCUUAUUCUUUAUAUUCACAUUCACACAAAUGUAUAUUAUGGUGAACAUGAUUGGUGCUUUUGCUGUCAUAAACUGGGGUGCGAUCUCAACCAAGUGCAUUAUUUAUAUAUAUAUUGAGAUUUUUCUUUUCCCACUAAGGUUAUAUUCAGGGUUCUGGGAAGAUUUCAACAUUUUCCUUAUUCCCAAUAUAGUUUCAUUUGUGUCCCCCUGUUUCAAAUUUGAUUGAUUGUAAAGGUUGGAACAUAAUAAUGAAUGAAUCUUACUAUACUGUAUUCACUUGUUGCUGCCGUAUCUUCUUGUCCUAAAGGCACAUUUUGUUAAUUAUCCAAAUUCAAUUAGUAAAUAAAUUGUAAUACCCAGUUAUUAUUAUUCUAAAGGAUCUGCAGCACAUGAAAGGUUACACACCAUACUUAUGAAUGCAAAUCUAUUAAACGAUAUAAAGAUGGCCUCGUCAGAUGCUCAAACAAGUUGUUUGGAGAGCUUUCACUCAACUUAAAUCAUUGGCAUCCCAAAAUGACUCACUUUUCAUGGCUCGGUACUUUCUGUAGGAGGCAUAUUUUGGCAAUACUCUAUUUCAACGAGAACCUUCGCCGUGAGAAAAAAAACCAAAGAUGGAGCAACAUAUACAAGUGUAACAUAUCCAAAAUAUAAAUUUGGUGAAGAAUUAGUUCGAGAAAUUGCAGUUCCUCCAACAUAUGUUUAUGUUGGAGAAAUCAAAGAUGUGUUGUUUUCGACCAGUGAAAAGGACAAAAGUGAAGCUCUUGCUUCAUACCUCGAUCAUCAGGCCCAGCCAUUGACCACACAGUUUGGGGAAAGACUGUCCAAAAGAGAUACAAUGGAGCAACAAAUGCAAAGACGGACAACUACUACCCAACUGUAUCCACAAAGUAAGUGGAGUAAGAUUAAUUGAUUUGAUUUUCUAAAGUGAACAACAUAAUAAUGUUUAUAAAUACUAAAGGAGGUAUGCCAGAAUUUUGAUAAAAUUCAACUUAAAUGCCAAAAAGAUGGUUGGUAUAUCCUGUGUGACAAAAUCUAUUUACUUGUUUAAAAACAACACAAUCUUGAAAGCAAAUAUUUUUUGUAGAUCAAGAUGUUUUUUGUUUAUAGAGCCAAUUUAAAAAUAUUUUUGUAAGGGCCUUGACAAUUUGAUGCACUUUGCCAAUUCUUCAUAGUUCACAAAGAGACAAAUUUGGAAAAGUCUCUAGCUGUUGCUGCUGCUAAAACCCAGGCCAGAAAAGGUAGACAGUGCCGUAAAUGUCAAUGAAAGGUCAUCCAAGAGGACAUUGCAACACUACAGAGAUUAAUGAGGAUUAAUUAGAGUAGUUACUCUAAGGUGCCUUAUAUGCCCCCUUAUUUUUAUUUUUUAUUUUUAUUCUGAUAUGAUGGUAUGCACAGGCAGGCAUUGGCCUUGUGUUGUCCCAUCCAAGAAAACCAAAAAUGUAGCGUAUCACCCAUCUAUUAGCAAAAGCUCUAAAAUAAAUAAAUAAAAGAAGCAUAUAAGAUGAAGUUGCCCAUGAUUUUUAAUUAUAAGGGUAUUGCCCAACAAACAUGAAUAAAUGUUGGAUGUAGGCAAUCAAUCUACCACAUGUUUACAUACAGUACAUCACUAUUGUCAACAUUACUUUCUAGUUUUUGUUACAUUUGAGUCCCAUUUGGGCUUCCAGCUUCAAGAUAAGGCACUGCAAACUGUUUGUUUAACUUUUUUAGAUUUAAAGAUGUUAAUGGUCAUUAAGAAAUAUUUGUAUGCUAGUUAACAGAAUUGGGCAUCCCCCACCCCCUUAUAACAGAUAAUUUCAUUUGUCUCCAUUUAAAGCAUCUGGAAAGAUAAUUAGGGUGACAACAAUUCCAAACAACUGCUAACUGCCUUAGGUAGCCUCUUGUAGGGCCAAAUUGACACUGCGUUGAAUGUUUAUGUUUAGGUCUUGACCUAAGGCAACAGAUUACAAUGCUUCUGAUUCAUAUUUGAAUUUAAAAAAUGAAAAAUGUUCCUAUUUCAGUUUUUGUCCCCUAUGUGUUAAUCUUAGUGCAUUCCAGCUAAGUUUAUAUGACCAUAUUCUGUGAACUGGAACGAAAAUUAUUUGUCGAUUUACUUACUCGUUUUUUGGAUGACCGGCCCGUUGCUUGGAGACUCUGCCAUUAAGGCCUUUAGCAGUGUACCCAGGUGAGAAAGCACCACCGUCUCUGUCAAUUUUUUAUAAUCCUUGUGCCCUGUUAUGCAUUUUAUCCUCUCAAUGCUGCCAUCAGUUGCCAAUUUAUCAACAGCGGCAUUGACCUCUGAGCAACAUCGGUAUUCUCUAGCACCAUUUAGGACCGAAUCAUUGCAUUUUUGGCAUUUACACCUGGUGUUAGCAGAGAUAUACAAUUUAAUCAAUAAUUUAAAGAACAAAUAGAAAACAAACGUUGCUUACUCACCCAUCGACGUUUGGAAACAUUAUAUGAAGUGAACGGAAAAUUUACUAGGCCAGCUCGGUUAGGCCCAUUGGUCGGCACACGACAAGGGCAAAAAACAAUGUUGGUAAAUAAUCCGGGCCAGUCAAUUGGGCGCCCAGAGAACUUCUUCAACUCUAAUUUGGGCAGUUUUGCACGAACCUUGUUGAACUUCGUGGAGGAAACGCUGCCAUACAUCGACUUCCAUCUCUGUCAUCAUUUUCCGAAAUCAGUUCCAAAAUUUGCUCAUCCCCGAUUUUUGCUAUUAUUUGAGAGACGUACCCUCUGUAGCCACCUCUGAUUUUUCUUUUCCUUGAGAUUUCUUCCAUUUUCAAAAAAAUUCACCAUAGACAAUAUCCGUUUCGCUCGACGUGGACCAUUUGUUAAGACUUUCGCCUAUCUUUCGCUGGUUCUACAGAUAGUUGUCGGUGUCCAAGAGAAAAGCCAAGAAAAAGAAUCCUUUUAGCGUUCAGCAAUCCUUAUUCAUCACAUAAUUCUCGUUUCUCUAGGCUUGAAUACCGAUACUACUGGUAAUUUCACAUGUUUUUAUAUGUUCCAACAAGGAAUUAACGAAAUAUGAACCAAUAACAAGCGUUCUUACAAUUUACAUAAAUUUUUCAUGUGAAAACUUAUAACAAGCACGGGUUGGAUAAUUAUUAACUGGCCUCAUUUUCACGAGGAGGAAUUUGCGUAUAAACGUUAACUAAACAAUACAAACUGCGUAAAACAGCUAUGAUUAAUUCCUAUUUAAGCAUUUGAUAGUGCAAGCAUAUAACCACGUACUGUGGAAUCUACGUAAACAUGACGAACACGGAGCCAUGCUGCAAAGCAAGGGUUACUAAAUGGAUAAGAGGGCAGGGAAAAUCCACAGAAGCUUUUCAUUUUUAAGAGGGUACAAGAAAAAAGAUAGAUCUGGAUUCUUGGAACUGGGACAGCUGCAACCGUUAACUGAACAAUAGCUUGGCAUAUUGUUCAGUUGCAAACGAUUUUAAAUUAAGGUGUAAGAAUAAAAUAGUCGAAUAAAUCCACCAGUUGAAAUGCAAUGAACGGAUGACGAACAGCAACAGCCUAAAAGAUUCUGGAACAAAUUUUCCUUCUGUUGCACGGUUAUCAGAAAUCAGAAACUUUUCCAAUCGAAGGUACAAAUAAAGCAAUGUUAGUAGAUUUCAAAAUGCCAGCGAAUAUAAUAAACUACUUCGUAAAGCCCAGAAAAAUCAAUUGUAAAUCACAACAAAAUCGCAAGAUACAUUAUGUUUACGCUAGGAACAAAUCUGGUUUGCCUCAUUGCUACCUGGUAACCAAGGCUAAUCGCUGUUAGCCAAUCAUCGGCCAUAUCCGGUUUAAGUGCGUAUUAGGCAAUUGUCCUUCAAAUAAAGGGAAGAUUCAAAUUUGUGGUUUUAACUAAUGAAUUUUUCUCCACUCCAUUUCUAACUUGUUUUUCAAUUCUUAAGCAAAAAUUGUGUUCCCAAUGUGAUAAAGUUUCACAGACUUUGUUGUUAGCCAGAAAACAGUUCCAUCAUACUUGUUUUUAUACCGUGGGAAAGUUGUUCAUUUGUUUACAGAUGUACUUUCUACUGCAUCAAUUUCUAUGUAAAGUUUUCCUGUUGUUUUUCUGCAGUAAUUUGAUUUUGCUUGAUUAAUUUAAGUAACGCUCUAAAUUAAACACUUGAUUGAAUUUUUUUCACUAAAUGCAUGAAAAUUUCACACAUGAAACUCUUCUUGCAACUAUUUACGAAAAGGGCACAUGUCUUUUCCAGUUGAGAAAUAGCAUUAUGCCAUUUCAUUGCAAAUUUGAAUUGUUGCCAUAUCAAUGAUCCAGCUAUUAAUGUUUAAACUAUAGACAAUAUUGAAUGUAGCUGUCAUUUCAAACACUGUUUAUCUCAAUGUCAGAGGAUUUCAUCAAAAUGCUAUAUACUGAUUUCUUUUGGAAAUUGGAUCCCUGUUGACAUGCAUGUUGGCCUGACAGUGCCAUUUGUUUUUUCAAACGGAAAUACAACUUACAUUUAAAUGGCUUUGAAAAAAGCAAACAUUUAGUAAAUUAAAGCUUUUCGUCUGACACUCUUCAGAGUUUAAAACGUCAGAAAAUAGAUCGAAAACUCUAUGCUUAGAAAUAUAUAUACACCCAGUUGUGGAUCGAAAUAGGCCAAUCAGAAACACGGGCACAUGACUGUAGAGGUUGACCAGUCAGUGCCGCUGGCCUAUUAGAAUGUUACCAGUGGAGUCCUAAGGUGAAAACGAACUCCUUUUGUCUACACAGUAGCGGUUUUUUUGUGCUUAUGUAGAUAGAUUCUAAAACUGCUAGGUGGAACGACGAUCGGGCUUUUCCAAUAAUCCGAAACAUGUUGCCAUUAUAGUUUUUUGCACAAUCUGGGUUUUCUAGCAAAUGCUGCCCGAUAGCAGAAUCGCAGGUUUUAGUAGUAAUUUUGGAUUUGCAAGAGCGAGGUGGCUGUUCUCUUUAGGGAUGUGUUUUGUUUCUAAUAUUAGAUGGAACCUGUUGUUUUAUCCUAUCCUCCAAUCUUUGGGUGGUGCAUCCUACGUAGCCAGAAUCACCCUGGCACGUAAAUUCAUAAACAACAGAUCCUUUUUUUGUGGCAGGAACGCAGUCCUUUUGAAUGGACGGAAGGGCCUUUUUUGUACUGUAAACAACACCUGGGUUAACCGCGAAGAAACAAUUUGUUAUGGCCUGUUUUAUUUGGCUUUCAAAACGUAGGGAGCUGUUACCGAUCCAGGGUAGUUUUAGACAGACCGGACACUUUUGAGGACCAAAUUUUACGUCAGCUGAGAAAUUUCCUAUCUUUUCCUUAAUGUAAACUGAAAUAACAUUUUCUGGAUAGCCGUUCUCCAGAAAAAUCUUAGUUAGUUUUUCAAGUUCCGAGUCGAGUUUAGACUUGGAACAAAUCAUCAGUGCCCUAUGUGUAAGCGUUUUGAUGAGGCUGAUUUUUUAUUUUUUUUGGGCAAAACGAACUCCAUCGAGUGUAUAACCCCAAAAAUGUGUGUUAACGGUUUACACUGGUGAGAAAUCCAGUGUCAGAUUUUUCAACCAAAACAUCCAGAAAUGCCAAGGAGUUAUUUUCUUCCUUUUCAAAUGUAAAAUGUAGGGCUGUGUGAAGACCAUUAAAGGUAUUAUGAAUCGAAAAAUGAUUUUAACCUAAUCGAUAGAACUCACUUUGCUUAUUCGUACUGUGGUAUCCAUUUGCUAAACUUUAAUCGCGUUUAUUCUGAUAAUUCACUCCAAACCCUCGAUUUUGCUGCACUACGAACUUCAAAAUGUGGCCUACUUCAAACGCGGUCAAACCGCUCUGCCCUUGUCUCCUGUGACGUAAAGUGUUUGACACAUUCUCAUUGCCUACGUAGCAAACAAGUCGUCAAUACGACUACACCCACCAUCAAAUAAGCUUUGUUUCCUGAAUUUUAGGUUCCAA